rnacentral:lncRNA from 1 species
GUCCUGAAGGACAAGAAAACACAGAGGAACUGUCUCAGCUUGCAGAGCACAUGAGGAUAAAUGCAGCAAAGGAUCCUGGAUUGGAUCUUGAAACAGAAAAAGAAGACAUUAGUGGAGAAUCUGGUGAAAUCCAAGUAUAGGUAACAGUAUCAUACCAGAGUUAAUUUCUUGGUUUUGAUUAUUGUACUAUCAGUAUGUAAGUCAUUAACAGUAGGAGAAGCUGGAUGAAGGGUAUGUAAAAACUCUCUUUCCUACUUUUUUUUUCCCCAAGACAGAGUCUCACUCUGUUGCCCCAGCUGGAGUUCAGUGUCACUGUCAUGGCUCACUGCAGACUCAAACUCCUGCACUCAAUGGAUUCUCCUGCCCCAGCCUCCCAAGUGUCUGGCAUUACAGAUGGAAGUCCUAAAGAAAUCUUGUCUGCAUCCCUAAGAAGAUAAGCAUGGAAAGUUUCUGUUAGAGCAGUGUUACUCAAGUCUCUGAAUUCCUUCUGAGUUAAACGCCAGAAAUCACUUGGUGAUCUUUCAUCAAAAUUAUUUUUAGGUAUCUAUCAUGAAUAACUCUAUUAGAGACUCCUUUCAUUUUGUUGAAAGUAAUGAGUUAGAAACUACUUGAAUUGCAAAAAGAUAUUUUAUUAGUCAUCAGAGUCAUUGCACUUUCUCAAAAACAACCUCAACAUUCAAAUAAACCUUUGCCAGUCACCCUGGAGGUUUUGCAUAGACAAUGCAUCAUUAUAAGAUUUGAAAUGAGGGUCAAGUAAAUAUUUCUUUUGUAAGGUGGGAAAAGGAUCUCUUAUGAAAGCAGGGGUGAGAAAUGGCUUGACCGUAGUGAUACUCAAAUUUAGGAAUGAAUGCAGGCAGAGCUUGAGGCUCAUGAAAAUUAUUUCCCUUAAACUACCUAAGUGCCCAGGUACUCCUUGGAAAGAUUUUGUGAACCGAGGAGCAAGCACCUUAUUUUGAAGACCCAUCUAUGGAAAAGGCAGGAAGGCAUCCUUGAUAAGAUGGCAUUUGAUAAUAGACCUGAAGGAAAUGCAGGUGAAACCAUGUGGCUACUGGGGGAAGAGAAAUCCAGGCAGAAGAAACCUCAAGGGCAAAAACACUGAGGCAGGAGUGGUCUUGGAAUGUUCUGGAAACAGCGAGAAGACCAGUGUUGGUUGUAGCAGACUGAAUAAGGGAAAGAGUGGUAGAAUAUGAGGUCAGAGAGAUAAGCAGCAGCAUGUUAGGUUUUGGAGUCCAAGGUAGAAAUUUGGGAUUAUAUUAUGAGUGAGAUGAGAAGAACGACUUUCCACUGGAGGGUUUUGAGUUUGGGGGUGACAUGACCUGGCUUUAAUUUUAAAAGGCUCACUCUGGCUGCUGUGUUACUUAGUACAUGGAAAUAUUGUUGCCUUUAUCAUUUCUGGGUAGUUUUGCUGACAUUCUUUUUCUGGGUUCACAACUGUGAUGGCAGUUUUAGCUGUGCAGGAUUAUGAAAAUGAUCUGACCCCUGAGGAAUUUGGGAUAUCAGUUUGGCCUGGGUGUGGUUCUCUUCUGCUUUGUGGGCUCAGAACUCUUGUAUUCCAAAGGAAGCCAUCUUCUUUCUGGCCGUCAGCCCAUUGCACUUGAGCCAUAAAUGUUGGGGUUUGGGCACCAGAUAAAUGUAGUAGGGUCUCGGCUGAUGACCUGCAGAAGCAGAUCAUGGAAUUAUAGAAGCUAUUGUAGGUCAGUUCCCAGGAAACAGACUGAAACUCAGAUUUGUGUGUGAGAAGUUUAUUGGGGAGUGCUCUUUUGAACAUUACCUGUAAGGAGUAAGGAAAGCAGUAGUGCGCAGAGGGGAGUACUGGACUCUGAUACAGUUGCAGCAGAGGCCCUGACCAUCCUAAAGAGGGAUGGCCUUUUAGAAUUGUCUCAAAUGAAGCAUGAGGCCUGGGCCUUAACACCUUCCACAUCAACUAGUCAAUGGUUGUGGGUGGGCCCUGGAAAAGGGAUGUGCUUGGGCCAAGAGUCAUUCUUGGGGAGAAACUUAACUGUGAGCCAUCAGCUGCCAAGACUCCAGGCAACCUGGGAAAUGAGUGUCUCAGUCUUGAAGGGGUGUCUGGGUGGCACACCAUGGUAAUUCACUACUGAUGAUUAACUGGAAGAUCCCUUUAAAGAUCAUCACCAACACCUCGACACCAGACACCACCAUUUCGAAGCUAAAGAAACUGAGGCCUGGGAGUGUACAAAUAUUGUUUAUCCUUGCAUCAUCUUCUCAUGUGUUAAUUACAAAACACAAAAAUGACGUCAACACGUAUGCCUUAUUUUCUAAAGGAGGGAGAGUAUAAAACUGAUUGUUAAUUUUUUAAAGUAUUUGCAAAUAUCAACUGAUUGCCAUUAUUGUUGGUGCUGCAUAUACUGUUUUUAUUUUUUAAGAAACAGUUCUUUUACUUCAGAACAACUGCAUGGACUGUUAAGGUGAUCACCAAGUUCACUUCACAUCCGUUCCAUGCACAUUCUGUUUCCCUCGUUGGUGCACACAGUCUUCAUUAUAAGGAAAAUCCACUCUGUGCCUACCGCAAGAAUAGGAAUCAAUUCUUAAUGCUGAAAUAAUUUCAACUAACAUGAAGUACACUGCUUGGAUACUGUAGUUUGAUUUGCUUGGGUGGUUCUGUCUUCCUACAUUCAUUGUGAAAGAAAUCUCUUAGACCACCCAGCAAUCAUGUUCCCGUAUUUACAAAAUAUUUUUUACAUAAAAGAAAUUGCACAGGACUAAAACAACCAAAUUUUGUAAUAUGUGGACCAGAUUCAAACCAACUAUAAGAAGACAUUUUGGAGACAACUGGGGAAAAAUCAAACACAUUAAGGAAUUAUUACUUUUCUUAAGAGUGAUAGUGGACUUGCGGUCAUGUUAAAUUUAAGUCAUUAUGUAUUAGGGUCAAUACUGAAAUGUUUAUAGGUGAAAUGAUUUGAGGUCUGGGAUUACCUAAAAUAUUCCAGAAAAUAGGAGGAAUAGAUGAAACAAGAAUGGUAAAAUGCUGAUGGUAGUUGAAGGUGGGUUAUGGCACAGGGGGGAUAACUUUUACCAUUCUCUUAACUUUGGUGUGUAUUUGAAAAUUUCCAUAAUAAAAAGUUAAAAAAACCCACAUUUUUUCAUGUCUGGUUUUAAAACUUUUAUUUUACUGGAUGGAAGCUAAGAAAAUGGGUUGUCUAGCCUAAUUUUGAACUUCUGGCAGUAUAACUGUCCCAGAUUAGGGAAGAGGCACAGCCCAGCCUGCAAAAAUGCCCGGCUGGACCUCAUGUGAUCACACCCAUUCGCCACGGCAGGCAGUGUCACCUCCUCUGGGUCUCAUGGUGAAUAACCGCAGCACGGCUGAGAAGGGUGAGCUGACAGAACAGGUAGGCCUUGGUUCAAACCUGGAGCCCACCUUUCUUUAGCCUCUGUGAUCUUACACUUCAUGUGAGCUCUCUCAAUCUCAUUUAUAAACUGGGACUUGUUUGAGGGUUAGAAGUGAUGCAGAGAAGGUAUCUAGUGCAUAGUUGAUAUCCAACACAAUGGUAGUCAUUAUUGAUAAAAAGCUGUUUGUUCUCCUCUCCUGGGAAAUAGUCCUGCUUUGUCUCCAGGUUGUAGAAGUUUUCCCUGGGAGUUUAUCUUGGUCCGGGAGGAACAAGUCCCUAUCUCUAGAUUUCAUUCAUGGGGUCCCAUGUCACCCUGAACCUUCUACCUUUUAAUGCUUGUCUGCAAGUUUAUUUAUAGUCCAUCUUUUGGACUUGGGCUAAGAAUUUGUAAUAUAUGUAAAACACGAGGAUUUGAGAGGAAGCCUAAAAUGUCUCUAAGAAAUCUUUUCAUUGUUGGGCAGCUCUGGUAUUUUUUAUUCCUUUGUGAUUUGGUGCCCUGAAGCAAACAUGGCUAAUCAAAUAAGAGUCACCUACAGAUCCUGAUUCCUUGGCCAGGCCUCCAUCCCCUAAAAUGGGGAAAUUGCUCCCUGGUGCUAAGUGGAGGCAAAUUAAUAAUAAUAAAUUGCAUUAAUACUUUUCAAUAGCAUUUUAAUUAAACUUUUUUAGUAACAGUAUGAAAAUCUGCCUUAUUCUUUUAUAUACUAUUUUAUU